UACGAGGGGGGCAAAUGUUGUUCGGAAUCACUGGGCGUAAAGGGAGCGUAGGCGGGUUUUUAAGUAAGGUGUUUAAUCCCGGGGCCCAACCCCGGACCGGCACCUUAAACUGGGAAUCUUGAAUAGUGGAGAGGUCGGUGGAAUUGGGGGUGUAGCGGUGGAAUGCGUAGAGAUCCCCAAGAACACCAGUUGCGAAGGCGGCCGACUGGACACAUAUUGACGCUGAGGCUCGAAAGCAUGGGGAGCAAACAGG
rnacentral:rRNA from 1 species